rnacentral:rRNA from 1 species
UACGUAGGUGCGAGCGUGUCCGGAAUUAUUGGGCGUAAAGAGCUGUAGGCGGUUUGUCGCGUCUGACUGUGAAAAUCCGGGGACUCAACCCCGGACUUGCAGUGGGUACGGGCAGACUAGAGUGUGGUAGGGGAGACUGGAAUUCCUGGUGUAGCGGUGAAAUGCGCAGAUAUCAGGAGGAACACCGAGUGGCGAAGGCAGCCAUCUGGACCGAACACUGACGCUGAGGCGCGAAAGCGUGGGGAGCAAACAGG